rnacentral:lncRNA from 1 species
UGAAAGUUGGUAUAUUAUAAUAUUGAAAUAAAAUAAAACGUAUCAAAUGAUGCUGACAUGUAGCAUCUAGGAAAAGAAGAAAAUUAGAAAAUAUUUUAUACAAAAAAAUCAAAUUUCAUAUACAAAUUGCGUUUUGUUCAACGCUUUUCCACCUCAAUAUAAUUACCAAAAGAUGCAUUCAAAUCUUCAUGCAUACACAUACAAAACCAGAAGAGGUUAGGAUUUAAUUUUCUAUAAAGAUUUAAAACACUUGCUUCAGUUAUUAAAUUACAGAUAAAUAAUUGAAAAGGAUUAGACAGAUUAAGAAAACCAUAUUAUUUUCUUUUAGAUUUCUAUAUUGAAAGUCAAUAAACUCAUCAAAGAUACCAGGACUAAAUUUUAUAUAUACGCCAGACGCGCGUUUCGUCUACACAAGACAAUAUUCAGUUUCCAGAUUACAUAUUAACAUUUGGUAUAAUGAACUCUUCGAAUCGCCUACAUAACAAAAUAAUAUACACAUUAUUUACAAAAGUCAUGCACACAACACAUUUUAAAGGUCAAAUACAUGGUAAGGU